AAGUUUGGUCCUCUGCUGGCUUUGAUUUGCAUCCCCCUGAUGCUAAUGUUGAGAUUGGUCUCCUGUGCCCUUUGGCCUUGAUUUUGCAGGAAAGUCUAUUCAGGCCCUCUGCCCAAUGUCUACUUGGGCCAUUUCUAUAGUGGAAUAAGGAGUUUGGCCAUAUUCUGUAUACUGGGCUCUUAUCUGUCAGGUCAGUCUCACAUUUUUAUUCAUUGUGUGGGUUGUCAUUUUCUUGACAGUGUCACUUGUCACUUGAGGCACAGCUGUUUUAAAUUUAAUCAAGUCCACUUUAUCAAUGUUUAUCUUUUGUUCCCUGGGCUUUUGAUGCCUAAGCAAAAUAUGAGUCCUAUGAGCCUGUGAGGCCCUCCACAGCUGGCAGCUUCUCUUCCCUCAGCUCCCCUGGCCCAGGGAGCUCACACCCCGGUGCUGCAGGACAGCUGCUGGCCUUGGCCUCCUGGCCGCCUUCUUUUUCCUCCUUAUCUCAUUGUGACAGGAUCUCCAGGCUGCUGGCAAGGGUCUGUAAGUGGAAGUGUUAGGAUGUUUGGGAUGUCACCCACCCAGGCAGCAUGGUUUUCUCCUGUCUGAUCAGAUAGAAGGGGAGCUGCCAACAGGGGGCCCACUUCAACCUGUUGGUUCUCUGAAGCUCUUUCAUGCACUGGAAUAUUUGGAUUUUUUCUUUCAGCAUCAGACAUGGUAAAGCUGGAGACCCUGCUGGCCCUGGAACGAGCAGAUAUCAUUGCCAGCUAUGAACAGGGGCGCCGGUCAGGGACUCCAGCGGACCCAUGGGAUGAUGCUGACCUGUUGCUCUACAAGGCCACAGACAGGCUAGGCUUUUUGCCUCAGGAGCAGCCUAGCCUCAGCACCCAGGGCCUCAGCAUCCACAGCCUCAGCACCCACGAGUCAAGGUGAGAGCCAGUCCAUGCUAUGCUGGUGGGAGGUGGGAGGUGGCCACGCAGUGGCUGUGGUUCCUUGCUGCCUGACCCCAGAGUUGUUGGGGGUCCUUGGGCUGUG
rnacentral:lncRNA from 9 species